GACGAACGCUGGCGGCGUGCUUAGCACAUGCAAGUCGAACGGAAAGGCCCUGCUUUUGUGGGGUGCUCGAGUUGCGAACGGGUGAGUAACACGUGAGUAACCUGCCCUUGACUUUGGGAUAACUUCAGGAAACUGGGGCUAAUACCGGAUAGGAGCUCCUGCUGCAUGGUGGGGGUUGGAAAGUUUCGGCGGUUGGGGAUGGACUCGCGGCUUAUCAGCUUGUUGGUGGGGUAGUGGCUUACCAAGGCUUUGACGGGUAGCCGGCCUGAGAGGGUGACCGGCCACAUUGGGACUGAGAUACGGCCCAGACUCCUACGGGAGGCAGCAGUGGGGAAUAUUGCACAAUGGGCGGAAGCCUGAUGCAGCAACGCCGCGUGCGGGAUGACGGCCUUCGGGUUGUAAACCGCUUUCGCUCAUGACGAAGCUUUGUGUGACGGUAGUGGGUAAAGAAGCACCGGCUAACUACGUG
rnacentral:rRNA from 1 species